rnacentral:piRNA from 1 species
UGGUAGUUUUAUCCAGGAGAGA